UGUUGAAAGCGUUCCACAGGGACUCUACAAGGUGUUGAAAGCCUUCCACAGGGUCUUCCACAGGGACUCUACAAGGUGUUGAAAGCCUUCCACAGGGUCUCUACAAGGUGUUGAAAGCCUUCCACAGGGUCUCUACAAGGUGUUGAAAGCCUUCCACAGGGUCUCUACAAGGUGUUGAAAGCCUUCCACAGGGACUCUACAAGGUGUUGAAAGCCUUCCACAGGGUCUCUACAAGGUGUUGAAAGCCUUCCACAGGGUCUCUACAAGGUGUUGAAAGCCUUCCACAGGGUCUCUACAAGGUGUUGAAAGCCUUCCACAGGGACUCUACAAGGUGUUGAAAGCCUUCCACAGGGUCUCUACAAGGUGUUGAAAGCCUUCCACAGGGUCUCUACAAGGUGUUGAAAGCCUUCCACAGGGUCUCUACAAGGUGUUGAAAGCCUUCCACAGGGUCUCUACAAGGUGUUGAAAGCCUUCCACAGGGACUCUACAAGGUGUUGAAAGCCUUCCACAGGGUCUCUACAAGGUGUUGAAAGCCUUCCACAGGGUCUCUACAAGGUGUUGAAAGCCUUCCACAGGGUCUCUACAAGGUGUUGAAAGCCUUCCACAGGGUCUCUACAAGGUGUUGAAAGCCUUCCACAGGGUCUCUACAAGGUGUUGAAAGCCUUCCACAGGGACUCUACAAGGUGUUGAAAGCGUUCCACAGGGACUCUACAAGGUGUUGAAAGCCUUCCACAGGGUCUCUACAAGGUGUUGAAAGCCUUCCACAGGGACUCUACAAGGUGUUGAAAGCCUCCCACAG